UACGAAGGGGGCUAGCGUUGUUCGGAAUUACUGGGCGUAAAGCGCGCGCAGGCGGUCUUUCAAGUCAGUGGUGAAAGCCUGGAGCUCAACUCCAGAACUGCCAUUGAAACUGAGGAUCUUGAGUUCGGGAGAGGUGAGUGGAACUGCGAGUGUAGAGGUGAAAUUCGUAGAUAUUCGCAAGAACACCAGUGGCGAAGGCGGCUCACUGGCCCGAUACUGACGCUGAGGCACGAAAGCGUGGGGAGCAAACAGG
rnacentral:rRNA from 1 species